CCCGAAGCCGGUGGAGUAACCUUUUAGGAGCUAGCCGUCGAAGGUGGGACAAAUGAUUGGGGUGAAGUCGUAACAAGGUAGCCGUAUCGGAAGGUGCGGCUGGAUCACCUCCUUUCUAAGGA
rnacentral:rRNA from 1 species